AGUUUAGUGGUCAGAACAUUGGUGCGUAAAGCCAAAGGUCCCGGGUUCGAUUCCCGG
rnacentral:tRNA from 1 species